rnacentral:rRNA from 1 species
GCAUCGAUGAAGAACGCAGCGAAACGCGAUAGGUAAUGUGAAUUGCAGAAUUCCGUGAAUCAUCGAAUCUUUGAACGCACCUUGCGCUCUAUGGCAACCCGUANAGCAUGCCUGUUUGAGUGCCAUGA